UUGAACCAUACCUCAUUUUGUGAAUCAUUGAAGUAACAAGCUCCUGUAGCUUGCCUUCCUUUUGUGAAUCACAGAAACCGUUACUUCAUUUUUGGCUUUUUAAUUUUAUUUGAAAAUGGAUUCUAAGAAGACACCUAACCGCUAUCAUCUUGCCUGCAAGUUUUGCCUGAAGCUUACAGGCAAAUUGCCUUUUCAUCUGAGGAGAGCCUGCAUGAAACAUGCAGAUAACCAAGAAAUUGAAUUUGUGAUGCAAGAAGCAAGAGGAAAGAUGAGAGCAAUCCUGGAAGGGCUAAGUAUUGUUAAUUAUGAAGACCUGGACUAUGAGGAUUCUGAUCCUAAACAAUUUUUUGUCCAGUUCCUGGAGAAAAAUGGCUGCUAUAUUAGAGGGAAGCAAGAGUCAGCAAGCUGUGCCAUGAAAGAGAGCAUCCGUCCAUCAAAUAUGGACAGAAACAAGGUGAACGUCAAUUGGCCAGCAGAUGAAGUAGUGGAGACACAGGCCCCUUGUAAAGGUCUGGACCUGUCACAUAAGAUGAUAAGCCCCAGCCCCUUGAAUGCUGAAAAUGGGCAGAAACAGCAACCUACACUUCAGUCACUUCAGGAGAGCAUUGACUUCCUAAUGUCACAAUUGGCCAAAAUGCAUGAGAAGGUAAACUCCAGACCCUUGAAUGCUGAAGCAGUGCAGAAACAGCGACCUGUUGUACAACAGGGCCUACCCAUCGAGUCAGAUGAGGAGGACUUUGUAAGCCCUGUGAAUGAACAAGAGGUGGAGAUGCAGGGACCUGAGCUUGACCUCCCCAUCGAGUCAGAUGAGGAGAACUUCGUAAGCCCUGUGAAUGAACAAGAGGUGGAGAUGCAGGGACCUGAGCUUGACCUUCCUGUUGAGUCAGAGGAGACCAAUGCAGACCCCUUGACUGAUGACAACGAUGAUGAUGAUUAUGAUGAUGACGGCAAGGAAUAUGAAGAGAUGGAGACACACAAUCUUGUUGGAGGGCUUGAACAGAGCGAGACCAAUUCAAAUUACGUUCUGCUUAGAAGAAGAAUGAUGGCUGCAGGCAUGUAUAGAAAACACUCUCUUGAAUGUGGUGUUCUUGCUCGCUUCCGAAAAUAUCUGCAGCAAGAAUUACAAGUAAGAAGAUGGUCACAAGAGGUGGCAAAUGUGGCCAGGUUUUUGUAUUUUGUGGACCCCUCCAAGGCAUCCUUAAGCUUCCUGACCGACACACAGAAGACGUUGGACUUUUUUACGGCACUUGAGAAUUUGGGGAACGCUCAUGCCACAAUGUUUUCGUACCUGAAACAUAUCAAGAGGUUUGUGAGAUCUCAAACAGAUACUUUGUCCAGCGGAUCCCAUCAAAGUGAAGAACUUGUCGGAAAAUGCAAACGCUAUCUCGACAUGACCUCGCCUCUGCAGCGAAGGCUGAGCAAGGGAAUUUCGGCCAGCGUUGUGGGGAAAAAGUUUGACUAUCUGACAUCUGCAAAAAAGGACCCCUCAGAGUGUCAACGGAUCCUCAUAGUGGCCAGACCAACAUUUGAGCAGAUAAUAAAGAAGGCCAAGAUGGGUGGACGUCUUUUGGAGAAGGAAAAGUCUUAUGUCGUCUAUUACUUGGAGGCACUGAUUGUCUUAAAAUACCUCCAGCGACCAGGGGUUGUGCAAAAUAUGACUGUGGAAGAAUGGUGCAAGAGGAUACCAUCUGAUUGCAAAACCCGUAUGGUCAUUGGUGUAAAAAGGCAUAAGACAUCCACUCAGCAAGUCGCCUCUAUACUGCUAGAAGAAGAAGAAGAAGAGUGGUUUGAUGUUUUUUAUAAAAAAAUACGGCCAUCAUUUAUCAGGAGUGGGAAAUGCCCACAGACAUUUUUCAUAUCGUCAACAGGGGAACCAAUUCACAGUGUGACGAAUGACAUCGCCCGGCUUCAUCAUAAGUUUAAAUUGCGCCCUGUCACAAGUCAAGAGGCUAGAAGGACAAUGGAGACAUACAUGGUCUCCCACUUUCAAACUGAUGCUCAGAGGAACAUGUUUGCCAGGUUGCUUGGCCAUUCAAAUGUGACUGCCGGAAGGAUAUAUGGCGAGAAGACCGUUGACAAUAUGGUAGAAGCGGCAGAAAUGAUGAAGAGGGCGAUGCAUGAAUCCCAGCCAUCAACAUCAAGGUGUCAAGAGGUGCCACAGAAGCCCCUGCAAGAAGAAACACCAGAAGUCUCCCGUGGGUUGAGGGAGGAAGCCUUUGAAAAAUUUAAAAAGUGCCACCCACUUACUAUUGAUGCCACGCCUCCUUGCUUAAAGGCAGCACUAGGCUUUUCCCGUGAGUACGGCCAGUACGUUUAUGACCGUUGGAGAAAACAGCAAAAUAAGAUGAGAGUGGAUUAUGUUGCUGGACUUCUCAAAUAUGAGAAUCCACAUGAAGAAAGAGAUGUAUCCAAGGCACUGGAUGGAAGACCAACUUGCCACCGAUAAGGGAUAUUUUGGAAACCUGUAACCCUCGGUAAUAGUGAAUCAGGUUUCUGAACACGUUCCAAGUGGAAUGGGCAUGAAUUCAACUUGAAAAAAGAUAAGUACACUUAUUUACUUCCCUCCCCGACACCUUGUCUCUCACGCACUCACUCUGCCUCUCUGAGUUAUAUUUGUUAUCAAAUUUAUAACAUAUGUUUUAUUUUUUAGGUCUAAAAAGAAGCACAACUUGGAUAUCAGAAUGGCCAUAAAUUCAUCCAGAAUAAGAUAAGUACACCUAUUUUAUACUUAUUUUCUGACAUUACUAUUUAGCAUUUUUUCUCUUUUUCUCCGCCCUUCUUUUUUUUUCUAAUGAACAAUACAUCGACACAGUUUAGAUAAUUGACUGUGACCAUUCUGAUAUCUAUAUUAUUUUUAGGCUUUAAAAAAUAAGCAGAGUCAUCACUGGAGUUUUUAGAGAGAAUGGUGAAAUACUUUGGCUUCUGAAGCAUUCCUCAUGUGAGAUGCAGAUGAGAAACCAGCACCUGAAACCAUCAAAAGAGUCUGAAGAGAUUGUCAGUCUACUGGAUAUGCCACAUGAGGGAAACCAUGAAAUACUUUGGACUUUUUUUUUUUUGAGGGGGGGGAGUUUUUAGAGAAAAUUGUGAAAUACUUUGUCUUCUGAAGCAUUCCUCAUGAGAGAUGCAGAUGAGACACCAGCACCUGAAACCAUCAAAAGAGUCUGAAGAGAUUGUCAGCCAACUGGAUCUGCCACAUGAAGGAAACCAUGAAAUACUUUGGACAUUUUUUUAAGGGGGUGGUGUUAUUUAAUUUUUCCUUCAGAGUGUUAAUAAAUGUUCCUUUACUUAUAAA